CCCAAACCAUUUCAUCCAAUUACUGCCUGGAAGUGUGGCCCUGAAGGCCAUUAACACCACUAUUGUUUUCCCCAGAACACAAGAGAUACAGAGGACAAAGGUGAUGCCGAAUGCGGUGUGUCGCAGCAUGCAGGACCACUCAGAGGGCCGGCCGAUGAAGGUCAGAGAGCACAGGAAACACAGAGUCAAUGAGAAGAGCAGCAGGAAGCUCAGCUCAGAGUUAUUGGCUCUGACAAUAGGAGUCUGUCUGUAUCUGAAGAAAAUGAAUGCCACAACAGCAGUCAGACAUGUUCCAAAUAGAGAGGCUGCCGUGAGCAGUGCUCCCAUGAUCUCUU